ensembl:lncRNA
CUCUCUUAUACUCAGUCCAUCUUUUAAAACUCCCACUUUUCCUUAAUCCCUCCAACUCUUUCUCCCUUUUAGAGAGAUGGAGCCACAAAAUAACACUCUCAGCCAAGAAUAUAACCACUGAAAACUCAGAAGAAUGCAUGAAGAUAAAAAAGAAGAGAAACAAAAGCAAAGAAAGGCCAGAUCAAAUGAAAAAACAGCCACAGGUUCCAAGAGCAUGAUAGUUCCCAGGUCUGUAAAGACUACAAAUCCCAAGGUUCUUCAGUGCCUUUACCCCAGCCAAUGAGGCAACCAGUCCAGGACCCAUCUGAACAGGUCAUUUACACAGGUCUUCUGAAUCUUGAUCCAAAUCCAUGAUUUUUGUUUUUCUGUUAUAGCACAUUGCCCAAAGGAAAUGUAUGUUAAGUCCCUAAGUGUCUAUUUAUGGUGGGAAAUUAAUAGGCUAGGUAAAAAGGAAUUGAUUUCAUAAGACUCUAUAUUUAGAACUAGAAGAUCGUUUAAUUCAUCCCCCCCUCCUCAUUUUACAAAUGAGGAAACUGAGGCCCAGAGAAAGUAAAUGACUUACCCAAGGUCACGCAAGUAAUAACUGACAAAGCUGUAGUUUAAAUAUUCAACUUCUCCAUUGUAAUAUCUUGUGGGCGGGUGGGGGUGGGGGUGGGGGGUGCACGCGCACGCGCGUGCUCAGUUAUAAACAAAUGAUGCUAGAACAGAGAGAGCAAAGAGAAAACCCACAUUCUCAAUCCAGUUAUAAUCUUAAUUAUCUGCAUCUCUCGCCAAGUCAAUUUUCUUUGAGCCUAGGUUUCUUCAUCUCUAUGUAAUGGACACUGGCCAGUGAGUUCUAAGUAGUGAAAGCACACACAGCGGACCCAGGUGGAUGUUUGAUUAGCCUGAUUCUGAAAAUUUGUGAAGAUACGAAUGGAGGUGCCUAGCUAUCCACUUCAGAGCAUGCACAGGUAUUCUCUAUUUCCUAUCUGCUUCCUUUGAGGUGGAGAAAAGGCCUUUCAGUCUUUUUAGUUAGCUGCUGAGCCAGAACUGAGGAUUUACACAAAAGCAGCCAAUGACUAAAUUUGUUCUCUUUCUUUCCUGCUGGCCACAAAGUGUAAGAAUGACUCUCUGAGCUCUGGAGAGUCAGUGGGAAGGUGGCCUUCCCCCUUAUUAAGCCAGCAAGAUGCCUGGGCAAGCCAGUAUCUCCCGUGGAGGCCUCCUCUUGUUAAUUUCUUCUUUCUUUUGGCACAGGGCCUUGUGAGACCUAGAAAGAUCCAGGAACUGGAAUCCAUGCCAGAGUUGGCUGGCAGUCAAGCCCAUUGAGGAUACCCAGGCCAGAAGUACAUCAAUGGAAGCCAAAGUGUCAUUCUAUGGCCCGGGAACAGCUUGUCCAGCAGCCAUGUCACACAUGGAAGUGAAUUUGCUGAGGUCAAUGUUUCAUAGCAACUGAUUUUUAAUUUGAGCCCACUCUUCUGCAGGAAACACGGUGGUAAAGGGGUGAAUGAGUCCCAGUUUUAGUAGGGAUAUUUUAUGCUGUGGUUUGGGCUAUAUUCUUUUAAUAAAUAUCUCUUUGCAAAAACUAACUGAGGUUUA